AAUGUAAAUUCCAUCAUGGAUCUUGCUGCUCGUUGAACAAGUAAAGCACAACAAUAUAAAAAAAAAUGGAGGAAGUUCAAAUUAUGCUUUUUUGUUUGUGCAACUGAAAAGGUGGAGCGGAAAAGAUAAACAACGUCAGCAAUAACGUGACAACUAGAAUUUUUUUAACGAAAUGUAUCGCGUGUGAACGUGAUUUUUUUUCUUCUUCUUGACCUGAAACCGUUGCAAGUGGUAUGACGUCAGUGGUGUCAAAAACUUGCGAGGAACACCUUGAAAAUGAUUUCGCUACCCGUGAGCAGGUGAUUCUGACUUAGGUUUCAGUAAGCUACGUGGUA